UCGUGCUAGACGGGGAGGUAGCGGUGCCCUGAACCUGCAAUCCGCUAUAGCAGGGUCGAAUUCCUGUCUGCGGCCUUUUUCUUGUGGGGACUGCCCCGGGCAAGUGGUGUCGAAGGCUUGGUCCUGUGCGGCGCAGGCCCACGAACCCCGUCAGAUCCGGGAGGAAGCAGCGGUAAGUGGAACCCUGCGGGUGCCACGGGGAAGCCGAGCUGGAGCUAACUGACCGGGUUACGCUCGGAAGGAGAGGUCAAAGACAGGUGCACGG
rnacentral:SRP_RNA from 1 species